rnacentral:rRNA from 1 species
AUGGACAAGCUGUCACGGGCACACGGUGGAUGCCUUGGCACCAGGAGCCGAUGAAGGACGUGGGAGGCUGCGAUAAGCCUGGGGGAGCUGUCAACCGAGCUGAGAUCCCAGGAUGUCCGAAUGGGGAAACCCAGCACUCGUGAUGGAGUGUUACCCGCACCUGAAUGUAUAGGGUGUGUGGAGGGAACGCGGGGAAGUGAAACAUCUCAGUACCCGUAGGAAGAGAAAACAACCGUGAUUCCCUGAGUAGUGGUGAGCGAAAGGGGAAGAGGCUAAACCGGCCGCGUGGUAAAGCCGGCAGGCGUUGCGUGGCCGGGGUUGUGGGACCGUUCGGCCGGAGCUGCCGGUCCGGCGGGGAUCGCGUCGUGAGGUCAGCCGAAUGCGUUGGAACACGCAGGCGGAGCGGGUGAUACCCCCUUAGGCGAAGGCCGCACGCCGACCCUGGAACGUCAUCCCGAGUAGCAGCGAGCCCGAGGAAUUUGCUGUGAAUCCGCCAGGACCACCUGGUAAGCCUAAAUACUCCCUGGUGACCGAUAGCGGAAGAGUACCGUGAGGGAAAGGUGAAAAGUACCCCGGGAGGGGAGUGAAAGAGUACCUGAAACCGUGUGCCUACAAGCCGUCAGAGCCUUCGGGUGAUGGCGUGCCUAUUGCAAAAUGAGCCUGCGAGUUAGUGCUGCGUGGCAAGGUUAACCCGUGUGGGGAAGCCGUAGCGAAAGCGAGUCUGAAGAGGGCGUACGGAGUCGCGCGGCCUAGACCCGAAACCGAGUGAUCUACCCAUGGCCAGGGUGAAGCGCCGGUAAGACGGCGUGGAGGCCCGAACCCACUUAGGUUGAAAACUGAGGGGAUGAGCUGUGGGUAGGGGUGAAAGGCCAAUCAAACUCGGUGAUAGCUGGUUCUCCCCGAAAUGCAUUUACGUGCAGCGUCGUAUGAUUCACGGUGGGGGUAGAGCUACUGGAUGGCUGAGGGGCCUUAACGGGUUACCGAGGUCAACUAAACUCCGAAUACCAUCGUGACCAGUGCGGCAGUGAGUCGGCGGGGGAGAAGCUUCGCUGACAAAAGGGAAACAGCCCAGAUCACCGGCUAAGGCCCCCAAGUGUGUGCUGAGUGGGAAAGGAUGUGGGACGGCACAGACAACCAGGAGGUUGGCCUAGAAGCAGCCAUCCUUGAAAGAGUGCGUAAUAGCUCACUGGUCAAGUGGUCCUGCGCCGAUAAUGUAGCGGGGCUAAGCACAUCGCCGAAGCCGUGGCACUGCGUCGAUGGCGCAGUGGGUAGGGGAGCAUCGAUCAUCCGCUGAAGUCGCGGCGUGAGCCAGUGAUGGAGGGUGGUCGAGAGAGAAUGCAGGCAUGAGUAGUGAAAGCAGAGUGAGAAUCUCUGCCGCCGGAUGACCAAGGUUUCCUGGGCCAGGCUGUUCCGCCCAGGGUUAGUCGGGACCUAAGGCGAGGCCGACAGGCGUAGUCGAUGGAUAACGGGUUAAUAUUCCCGUACCCGCGUGUGCGCGUUUGCAGCGAAGGGGCGACGCAGAAGGGUAGCCCAACCCGGGCGUUGGUUGACCCGGGGUAAAGGUGUAGGGCGGUACGCAGGGAAAGCCGCGUACCGGGUGCCUGAGACCUGAUGCCGAGCCAUAGAGGCGAAGUGGGUGAUCCCGCGCUGCCGAGAAAAACCUCUAGUGAGCGCACGGGCGGCCCGUACCCCAAACCAACACAGGUGGUCAGGUAGAGAAUACCGAGGCGAGCGGGUGAACCGUGGUUAAGGAACUCGGCAAAAUGUCCCCGUAACUUCGGGAGAAGGGGAGCCGGAUGGCGUGUACGCCCUGUGCGGUGGAAGCGCCGGCCGGCCGCAGAGAGCAGGCCCGAGCGACUGUUUACUAAAAACACAGGUCCAUGCGAAGAAGCAAUUCGAUGUAUAUGGACUGACGCCUGCCCGGUGCUGGAACGUUAAGAGGACCCGUUAGCUCCCCUCGAGGGGGCGAAGCGGAGAAUUUAAGCGCCAGUAAACGGCGGUGGUAACUAUAACCAUCCUAAGGUAGCGAAAUUCCUUGUCGGGUAAGUUCCGACCUGCACGAAUGGCGUAACGACUUGGGCACUGUCUCAACCACGGACCCGACGAAAUUGCACUACGAGUAAAGAUGCUCGUUACGCGCGGCAGGACGGAAAGACCCCGGGACCUUUACUACAGCUUGGUAUUGGUUUUCGGUUCGGCUUGUGUAGGAUAGGUGGGANNNNNNNNNNNNNNNNNNNNNNNNNNNNNNNNNNNNNNNNNNCGGACCAUGAUCUGGUUCAGGGACAGUGCCUGGUGGGUAGUUUAACUGGGGCGGUUGCCUCCCAAAGAGUAACGGAGGCGCCCAAAGGUUCCCUCAGCCUGGUUGGAAAUCAGGUGUCGAGUGCAAGUGCACAAGGGAGCUUGACUGUGAGACCGACGGGUCGAGCAGGAGCGAAAGCUGGGACUAGUGAUCCGGCACCACCUGGUGGAAGGGGUGUCGCUCAACGGAUAAAAGGUACCCCGGGGAUAACAGGCUUAUCUUGCCCAAGAGUCCAUAUCGACGGCAUGGUUUGGCACCUCGAUGUCGGCUCGUCGCAUCCUGGGGCCGCAGUUGGUCCCAAGGGUUGGGCUGUUCGCCCAUUAAAGCGGCACGCGAGCUGGGUUUAGAACGUCGUGAGACAGUUCGGUCCCUAUCCGCCGCGCGCGCAGGAGACUUGAGGAAACCUGUCCCUAGUACGAGAGGACCGGGACGGACGAACCUCUGGUGUGCCAGUUGUCCCGCCAGGGGCACGGCUGGUUAGCUACGUUCGGAUGGGAUAACCGCUGAAGGCAUCUAAGCGGGAAGCCCGUUCCAAGAUGAGGUCUCCCACCCCGCGAGGGUUAAGGCCCCCACCAGACCAGUGGGUUGAUAGGCCGGAAGUGGAAGCGCAGCAAUGCGUGCUUGAGCUAACCGGUACUAAUCGGCCGAGGGCUUGUCCAUACAUCC